UCUGUCCCAUAGAUGUAAAGCCAGGUGAAGG
rnacentral:piRNA from 1 species